GAUGAACGCUGGCGGCGUGCCUAAUACAUGCAAGUCGAGCGAACGGACGAGAAGCUUGCUUCUCUGAUGUUAGCGGCGGACGGGUGAGUAACACGUGGAUAACCUACCUAUAAGACUGGGAUAACUUCGGGAAACCGGAGCUAAUACCGGAUAAUAUUUUGAACCGCAUGGUUCAAAAGUGAAAGACGGUCUUGCUGUCACUUAUAGAUGGAUCCGCGCUGCAUUAGCUAGUUGGUAAGGUAACGGCUUACCAAGGCAACGAUGCAUAGCCGACCUGAGAGGGUGAUCGGCCACACUGGAACUGAGACACGGUCCAGACUCCUACGGGAGGCAGCAGUAGGGAAUCUUCCGCAAUGGGCGAAAGCCUGACGGAGCAACGCCGCGUGAGUGAUGAAGGUCUUCGGAUCGUAAAACUCUGUUAUUAGGGAAGAACAUAUGUGUAAGUAACUGUGCACAUCUUGACGGUACCUAAUCAGAAAGCCACGGCUAACUACGUGCCAGCAGCCGCGGUAAUACGUAGGUGGCAAGCGUUAUCCGGAAUUAUUGGGCGUAAAGCGCGCGUAGGCGGUUUUUUAAGUCUGAUGUGAAAGCCCACGGCUCAACCGUGGAGGGUCAUUGGAAACUGGAAAACUUGAGUGCAGAAGAGGAAAGUGGAAUUCCAUGUGUAGCGGUGAAAUGCGCAGAGAUAUGGAGGAACACCAGUGGCGAAGGCGACUUUCUGGUCUGUAACUGACGCUGAUGUGCGAAAGCGUGGGGAUCAAACAGGAUUAGAUACCCUGGUAGUCCACGCCGUAAACGAUGAGUGCUAAGUGUUAGGGGGUUUCCGCCCCUUAGUGCUGCAGCUAACGCAUUAAGCACUCCGCCUGGGGAGUACGACCGCAAGGUUGAAACUCAAAGGAAUUGACGGGGACCCGCACAAGCGGUGGAGCAUGUGGUUUAAUUCGAAGCAACGCGAAGAACCUUACCAAAUCUUGACAUCCUUUGACAACUCUAGAGAUGGAGCCUUCCCCUUCGGGGGACAAAGUGACAGGUGGUGCAUGGUUGUCGUCAGCUCGUGUCGUGAGAUGUUGGGUUAAGUCCCGCAACGAGCGCAACCCUUAAGCUUAGUUGCCAUCAUUAAGUUGGGCACUCUAAGUUGACUGCCGGUGACAAACCGGAGGAAGGUGGGGAUGACGUCAAAUCAUCAUGCCCCUUAUGAUUUGGGCUACACACGUGCUACAAUGGACAAUACAAAGGGCAGCGAAACCGCGAGGUCAAGCAAAUCCCAUAAAGUUGUUCUCAGUUCGGAUUGUAGUCUGCAACUCGACUACAUGAAGCUGGAAUCGCUAGUAAUCGUAGAUCAGCAUGCUACGGUGAAUACGUCCCCGGGUCU
rnacentral:rRNA from 1 species